GGCCAGGUAGCUCAGUUGGUUAGAGCAUUGUCCUGAUAAGCCACGGUUGUGGGUUCGAAAUCCAGUCAGGGCA
rfam:Myotis lucifugus cont2.19672, whole genome shotgun sequence.